rnacentral:rRNA from 1 species
GACGAACGCUGGCGGCGUGCUUAACACAUGCAAGUCGAACGGAAAGGCCCUGCUUUUGCGGGGUGCUCGAGUGGCGAACGGGUGAGUAACACGUGAGUAACCUGCCCUUGACUUUGGGAUAACUUCAGGAAACUGGGGCUAAUACCGGAUAGGAGCUCCUGCUGCAUGGUGGGGGUUGGAAAGUUUCGGCGGUUGGGGAUGGACUCGCGGCUUAUCAGCUUGUUGGUGGGGUAGGGGCAUACCAAGGCUUUGACGGGUAGCCCGCCUGAGAGGGUGACCGGCCACAUUGGAACUGGGAUACGGCCCAGACUCCUACUGGAGGCAGCAGUGGGGAAUAUUGCACAAUGGGGGGAAGCCGGAUGCAGCAUCCCUGCGUGCGGGAUAACGGCCUUCGGGUUGUAAACCGCUUUCGCCUGUGACGAAGCGUGAGUGACGGUAAUGGGUAAAGAAGCACCGGCUAACUACGUG